rnacentral:lncRNA from 1 species
AGAAAUACCAUAGUAAGAGAUGGUGUGCUGUCUUAUAUUGCAAAACUGACACGUCAAACAUUCCUGAAAGGUCUGUGGGACAAGUAUUUACCAAUGAAUUUUUAUUUUGACCGUGUAUUGUUGUCGUUGUUACUGUAGCCUGCAGCAGAGUCCCCUGAGCCCAGACUGUGACCUGGGAGGGAGUGUGAGUCUGGCUUUAGAGGUUUCCUGUUCCUCUUGUCUGAAGAGCCAGUCCCAGAGCAUCACAGACCACACUCUCACCACUUCCCAGGUAUCUUCUAUGACUUAUAUUAGCUGUCCCAUGUUUAUUUCUGUAUUUACUCUAACUCCCUAGCCAAUAGCACAGACCAUUGUAAUAUUGUACAGUAGCUACAUGGAUGUUACUUUUUGUUGCAGAGAAUAGUGAGUCCAGAGACAGACAGUGGGAUAGGGAGCUCUGACUUGAGUCUCCAAGCCACAGGACUUUCUCAACCAAAACUCCAUACAGAAAGGCUCCAGCUCCAGCCUGAUGGGAAUUCCAAUCCUAUCAGUAUGAGUGACAGUGAAGGCUCCUGCACCAACCUGCAGACCACUAUGCAUCAACCUGUACAGGUGGGAGAGAGGAGACCCAACGCGCAGGGAAAUGUCCAUUCAGCUGGGCUGACCGGAAAAGCGACACCUAGCCUGCAGUCUACUGUCCAUCUGACUAGGGAUAUUGGAGAGAGGAGACCCAGCCUACAGACACCUGCUGAGCUGCAGCUUUGCACCACUGCGGUGACCAGCACUACUCAGAGUGUACCUGCCGGACUGCAUGAGGGUGAAUCCCACACUGCCAGUCAGCUCAGUCAUCACGGCCCUGACUGCCCAUUCAAAACCUCCCAUAGCAUCACCAUGGAUAUGCCACAGAGAGACUGCCACUCCCACACCUGUUCCUGUCACAGGUCAGUCUCAAAGUACUGAGUAUUCAAAACCUCCCAUAGCAUCACCAUGGAUAUGCCACAGAGAGACUGCCACUCCCACACCUGUUCCUGUCACAGGUCAGUCUCAAAGUACUGAGUAUUCAACUCAAGAGUCAACUUUAACAUAUGAAAUUGGUAACCAAGUCAGGCUGCCAGUUAAUACCUCAUAGAGGCCAAAACAUAUUGUUUUUGAGUUGGCCAACCCCUCUCUCUCUCUCUCCAGUUCGGCCAUCCAGGCCCUGCAGUCGGAGGUGUCCCAGCUGAAGAGAGACCUGAAGGAGGGUCUGGUCCAGCUGCCACACCUCUCCCAGAGGAUGGAUUAUCUGACCUCCAGAUGCAGGCAGAACAGAGACAGAAGACCCAAGACCCGGCCCAGAACACACCACAAACCAGCAGGGAGCAGACAGAGUCUGACCAACACCAACUCCAAGAUAGAAGACUGGAUCUCCUCAGAUAUGGACCCCAGCAAGAGCAAAGGUACCUUACUAACCGGGUUAAUGUACUGGGAGUGUAAUCCAAACCAAGUUGCUAACAACAAUG